UACAGAGGUCCCAAGCGUUGUUCGGAUUCAUUGGGCGUAAAGGGUGCGUAGGUGGCGCUGUAAGUCGGGUGUGAAAUUUCGGAGCUUAACUCCGAAACUGCAUUCGAUACUGCGGUGCUUGAGGACUGGAGAGGAGACUGGAAUUCAUGGUGUAGCAGUGAAAUGCGUAGAGAUCAUGAGGAAGACCAGCGGCGAAGGCGGGUCUCUGGACAGUUCCUGACACUGAGGCACGAAGGCCAGGGGAGCAAACGGG
rnacentral:rRNA from 1 species